AUGUGUGGUGUGAGUGGCAUCAGUGUUGCUCUGCUCUCUGGUCCAUAUUCCACAGUGAGAUAUUCCAGUCUCUCUCCAGCUGCUGUCUCUCUCCAGUCUCUCUCCAGUCUCUCUCCAGUCUCUCUCCAGUCUCUCUCCAGCUGCUGUCUCUCUUCAGUCUCUCUCCAGUCUCUCUCCAGUCUCUCUCCAGUCUCUCUCCAGUCUCUCUCCAGCUGCUGUCUCUCUCCAGUCUCUCUCCAGUCUCUCUCCAGUCUCUCUCCAGCUGCUGUCUCUCUUCAGUCUCUCUUCAGUCUCUCUCCAGUCUCUCUCCAGCUGCUGUCUCUCUCCAGUCUCUCUCCAGUCUCUCUCCAGUCUCUCUCCAGCUGCUGUCUCUCUUCAGUCUCUCUCCAGUCUCUCUCCAGUCUCUCUCCAGUCUCUCUCCAGCUGCUGUCUCUCUCCAGUCUCUCUCCAGUCUCUCUCCAGUCUCUCUCCAGUCUCUCUUCAGUCUCUCUCCAGUCUCUCUCCAGUCUCUCUCCAGUCUCUCUCCAGUCUCUCUCCAGUCUCUCUUCAGUCUCUCUCCAGUCUCUCUCCAGUCUCUCUCCAGCUGCUGUCUCUCUCCAGCUGCUGUCUCUCUCCAGUCUCUCUCCAGUCUCUCUCCAGUCUCUCUCCAGUCUCUCUCCAGCUGCUGUCUCUCUCCAGUCUCUCUCCAGUCUCUCUCCAGUCUCUCUCCAGUCUCUCUCCAGUCUCUCUCCAGCUGCUGUCUCUCUCCAGUCUCUCUCCAGUCUCUCUCCAGUCUCUCUCCAGUCUCUCUCCAGCUGCUGUCUCUCUCCAGUCUCUCUCCAGUCUCUCUCCAGUCUCUGUCCAGCUGCUGUCUCUCUUCAGUCUCUCUCCAGUCUCUCUCCAGUCUCUCUCCAGUCUCUCUCCAGUCUCUCUCCAGCUGCUGUCUCUCUCCAGUCUCUCUCCAGUCUCUCUCCAGUCUCUCUCCAGUCUCUCUGUCUCUCCUCUCAUUUUAAUAUCAGUCAGUAG
rnacentral:lncRNA from 1 species